GCUUUGCUCUCUCUGCUGUGGAACUUGACUGACAUCUGUGCUUUGCCUGUGUGCAGAAGAACAAGGACCAGAUCUCCAGUCUUCUCUGUCACAUCCCAACCCCCAUCCCCUCUAUCCUCUGUCCUGCUCCACCUGUUGUCUCUGCCUUCUUUCCAUCUGUAUUUCACCCUGUGGUUUGUGAGAAAUUUUGCCAAACCAAGAAU